CUCCUGACCUCAUGAUCCGCCCAUCUCAGCCUUCCAAAGUGCUGGGAUUCCAGGUGUGAGCCAGGGUGCCUGACCACCCCAUUGUCUAUUCAUAAAGGUAACUGGGAGAAUAGAGGUUCACAGAGGCUCUCAAAGAAGACGUCUAGUAAGCCCGUCAGGGAGCGUGGGGAGGGAACCCCUGGGACCUGAUCAAGGCUGUGCAAGCCCGACCUGCCCCAUGACCUGAGGCUGACCCGCAACUGAGGACAAGGUAAGAGAAGAUGGUAGGGCCUGGCCAAAGUCUCUGGGAAAAUAAAUAGGCUUAUCUGUUGUCCUGUGACCUGCACUGUUCUUUUGCUGGGAAAACAGACCCUCCAUUUUUGAGAUUCCUGAAAGGUGACCAGGUGAAAGCAGAGCCUAACUUCCUGGGGAAAUGGUCUCAGCGCAGUGAAUGCUAUAUUCAGAGGUAGGAAGACUCUGGAUGUGAACUACUUCGUGUUUCUUUUGUAAAAUUACCAAAAAAAUGAGGACUAUCCACAGAAGCGGAAGUAGGAAUGCGGAAGGAGAGGAUGAGUUUAGACUAAGCUCUUUUGUCACCUCACUUCUGCUUUUGAAGUCCCACAGCUCCGUAAGGAUCCUAAAACUGGGAGCGGUGCCUCCAGGAGGAUGUGCAUCUUUCCUUGGGUUUCCCCUGGAAAGACAGAAUGAAUUCACAUUCCCACCUGCAGUGGCUGAGAAGUCCCCUUUCCCCCACUUCCUUG